rnacentral:ribozyme from 1 species
AACCAGCACAAAAUUUCAAGCUGACAUAGAAGAGGGGAUCAGAUCAAGGUGAAAAUAUCAUCAAUGCCAGGCUUCAUCAAGUUUCCCCCCUUAAACUUCUUCUUCUUGUUUUCCUUCUUCUUCUUCUUAUUCUCUAUGUUUUAACUUCAAAAUAAAAA